UGGGGAAUUUUGGACAAUGGGGGAAACCCUGAUCCAGCCAUCCCGCGUGUGCGAUGAAGGCCUUCGGGUUGUAAAGCACUUUUGGCAGGAAAGAAACGUCGCGGGUUAAUACCCCGCGAAACUGACGGUACCUGCAGAAUAAGCACCGGCUAACUACGUGCCAGCAGCCGCGGUAAUACGUAGGGUGCAAGCGUUAAUCGGAAUUACUGGGCGUAAAGCGUGCGCAGGCGGUUCGGAAAGAAAGAUGUGAAAUCCCAGAGCUUAACUUUGGAACUGCAUUUUUAACUACCGGGCUAGAGUGUGUCAGAGGGAGGUGGAAUUCCGCGUGUAGCAGUGAAAUGCGUGGAUAUGCGGAGGAACACCGAUGGCGAAGGCAGCCUCCUGGGAUAACACUGACGCUCAUGCACGAAAGCGUGGGGAGCAAACAGGAUUAGAUACCCUGGUAGUCCACGCCCUAAACGAUGUCAACUAGCUGUUGGGGGCCUUCGGGCCUUGGUAGCGCAGCUAACGCGUGAAGUUGACCGCCUGGGGAGUACGGUCGCAAGAUUAAAACUUAAAGGAA
rnacentral:rRNA from 1 species